GAAUUUUGGCAGAGAAGCGUUGUUCAUGCGCGCAUAUACGGCAUGACAUCGAUACGUUAUGUUCGUACAAAAGUUACGUUGGUGUCGUAAGAACAACCUCGGAAUACCUCGUCGCGUCGUGACGACGCGGCUUUGCGCCGUUCGCCGUUUUGGUUUGCUGCGGUUAUAAAUACUCGUUUUUUUUUCCUUCUUUAGUGACUUUGUAGAUGACGCAAUGCCCCCAAAGGGCAAGGCGGAAUCUUCCGGUGGUCACACUUCAAAGAAAAUCAAAGCCAUCACCUUGGAUUUGAAGCUAAACACGGUGCAGCCAUCGAAACGCAGACGAAUAUCGGCCGCGUGCCAAAACCGCCAAGUAAAGUGACUUUCCUGUUGACGUAAUGCCUCCUAAGGUCAAGGUGGAGCCUUCCGGCGGCCACACUUCAAAGAAAAGGAAAGCCAUCACCAUGGAUGUCAAGUUAGAUGUCGUGAAGCGAUCAAAACGGGGAGAAACGCCGACGAACAUCGGCCGCGCGCUCCACUUAAGUCGCUCUACUGUCGUGAC